UGGGGGACGCCUGAUGAGCCUGCCGCGUGUGUGAAGAAGGCCUUCGGGUUGUAAAGCACUUUCAGCGGGGAGGAAGGUACUGUAGUUAAUACCCGCAUUAAUUGACGUUACCUACAGAAGAAGCACCGGCUAACUCCGUGCCCCAGCCGCGGUAAUAA
rnacentral:rRNA from 1 species